rfam:Dipodomys ordii contig_72085, whole genome shotgun sequence.
GGGAAGGUGGCUUAGAGGUAAAAGUGCUUGCCUUACAUGCAUGAGGUCCUGGGUUCAAUUCCUCAGCACCCCA